rnacentral:piRNA from 1 species
UCCCAUUCCAGAGGAGUCGCCUGCAUGU